GAGAGGUCAGGAAAAAAUGGCAUGACCUCACGUCUCGCACUAAGCGCAAAGAGGCCAAACGCUGUGCAGCAAUGCGGCAGACAGGUGGUGGUGUGGGGCCCUGUCCACUGUCAGAGUGGGAGAAGAAGAUGUAAGUGAAAGGCUUUACAACGUAGAGAAGGAUCGCUUAGCAUUAGAGGAGGAGAGGUUGAAAGUAG